UUGGGAGCGGUGUCUAUAACACCCUAACGCAUACCACGCUGUAGCGAAUACAAUAAUACGCUGAUUUUGACAACCGAAAAAUCUCCAUCCUUACGUGGGUCCAUCCCUUUAUCGCAUAUGGUGACAUGUGGGCCUCCCUAAAAUAUCCGACAUAUGUGCACGUAGCUAGGGUCUGAACGGGUUAUAUUAACUCGGGGUGAAUGAAAUAGUCAGCCAAAGUGUAAAAAGAAAUUGAUUGUGUAUGACAGUGAUUUCCAGCCAUUACAACCAAAGGAAUUUGCCAGGUUCCCGCUGCAAGAAAACAACCACUGCCAUCAAAUAAUUUGGGUCAAGCCGUUCUUAUGUGAUGAGUGAUCUACAGCCCUGUGUUGUCAAUUAAUUUGCCUAUUCAUUGUUAAAAAAACAGUGCCGUCAUAGUUGUUUUAUGUUUAAAGUCGUUUUUGUGUUCUUUGUUUUUCACAUUUGAUCUUUUAUUGUCACAAGCCACCGAAACGCAGCAGAGAAGUAAACGAUCAAGUUAAAGCCCCAGCCCGUUUUGACGCAUACUUGAUCGAUAUGACUCUUCAGCAUUCACCAUUAAAUCACCAAAACUUCUUCAGCAGGCGCCGCUUCUACCAACGAGACACAUCUAUGCACGCCAUCAAUCCAAGAACACCUAAACUUUACAGAUCAGCAGCGCACAUAAAAGCCAGCAUUGACCUCUGCCUGUGACGUCCGUACAGCAGCCGAAAAACAACCCUUACAAAAGCCAACAACAGUCAACGAAGCGGGUGAGUUACAAAGCAAAUGCACGAAAUGCAACAAAAUAUGUUACAAAUGCAGACAAUGCUGCAAACUGCAACAAUUGCAGUUGCAACAGACUCAAAUGCAGCAGUUAAGAAAAGACAUGGUUGAGGCACUAACAUCAAAACACGCGAAGCUGUCCGUCCAGAAUCCUCAAACAUCAUUGCAGCAGCCACCAGCCAGUAAUCGGACAUUGGAGCCAUCAAGUAUAUCACAAACCAUAUCACAGCUGCCACCACAACAAACCGCCAUACCGCCGCCGUCACAAUAAUACGCCACACAGUCGCACCAGUUAGUCCAGCCAAAGCAAGUAACGCAACAGGAAAUUCCAAGACAAUUUCGUCAACCAUGUACUGUCUAGCUUAUGAACCAGGACAUGAAUUCCCAAAUAGUGUUUUAAACACACUAAACCCUUAUAUUAAUUUGUCACAAAAGAAAAUUUACCCCCUUCCAAUAUUUUCAGGAUUGCCCGAGGAAUGACAAACUUUCUCCUAAGCAUUUUACAGUAACACCGAUGAAUUUCUUUACAAUAAUCUGCACAAUAUAAUGCGCCUGAGGAAAUCCAUUAAAGGCAAUGCUCGUGAAGCUGUGGAAUAUUAUUGGGAAGCUCUGCCAAUUUUGAAUGAAUAAUUUAAGGGAAACCUUCGGCAGACCGGAACAACUCAUCAAAAGCCUGAUUGAUAAGGUCCGUAAAAUUCCCCCUUUGGUCAAUGAUAAUUUGGAGGCAAUAGUAAGUUUCGCCAAUAAGAUGACAACCAUGGCUACGUUCUUAAAAAACGCUCGUGGAGAACAUCAUCUUUAUAAUCCAUUUUUGUUAAGUGAGUUGGUUGCCAAACUACAGAUUAAUGGACAAAUGGAAUGGGGUGAGAAAUGUCGGUUUUUAAAAGAAGCUCCUAACAUCGUCCACGAUACCUCGUCGCCACAACCAAACCGAAAGUUCGCAUGUGUCACCGUUAAAAAGUGUAUUGUCUGCAAGGGACUCUGCACGUCAAUCAAAAAGUGUAAACACUUUCUGGAAAUGUCUUGCGACGAAAAAUGGAAAAGGUAUACAAAACCACGUGAAAAAAUGAGUGUUUGAAAUAUCACAACAAUUUGCUUUAUAACGAUGUUGCGGACACUGACAAAAACGGUAAGAGUUAUGUAAAUCCAGCACUAUCACAAGAGCCCGAGCUGAGAAAUUGUCAUGCCCUAUGUGAAACCGGCAACAUUUUGUUCCAAAUAUUGCCCAUCCCAAUAUAUGAAAAAUAUUAAAUUAUUUCUACUUAUGGUUUUAUAGAUGACUGCGCAAAUGUAUCCAUGCUCGAUUUUUCAGUGAUUUAAAAGAACUUGAAAAAUAAAAGAAUAAAAGAAAAAGCGAAAAGCUUAAAGAAAGUAAAGUUGUAAAAACCUGUAAAAGAAAAAGAAACAUUUAUUAAAGAAGAAAACAUUGAAAAGAAAUAGAAAAAAAGUAAAUCAAAUAAUGUACAUUUUAAAGCUAAAAACUUAAGUCUAAAAAAAAAGCUAAAGCCAAGACUCUUCCACCUCCACUGCCACACAUAUAAAAGACUUCAGCAGCUGCAAUUGGCAUAUCCACAACCCCUGUCGCUACUCCACUGAGGGACCUAGACGCUGUCGCAUACCAAUGUCCACAAGGUAGUCCAAAACGUUUCUCCGACCAUAAACCGACAGGCAUACAGACGGUUGACUCUCGACAGAUUUAUUUUGUUAUAAAAGUUUUUUUUUUGGGUAAAAAAAGAGAUAAAAAAGGAAAUUAGGUAGGGACAACAUCGAGCUUUUUUAUUACUUACCCUUUGGUUGGGUUCGAUACAGUAACCUAAACAUGAGCUCAUAGUUAGGUUAGGUAGUGGAUAGUAGAGGAUAUUUCCUUGCCCAUCAGCCAAUGUUGACCUUACGGUGCUGAGAAAGCAGCACAUCAGAAAACCCCCAGAAAAUAAUAAAGGAAAAAAACAUUUUUAGACAAGAACUGACUGCGACAGAUACACUUAAACACGACAAUACUUACCAAAGAUUAGACGGAUGGACGGACAAACGAGAACCUAAAAGGGCGCAGAGGCUGCCACCAAGACCACAAUACCCGGGGACUCCAUUGGCAUUUAUCCGGAACAGUCGCCAUUGGAACCAGGAACCUGAAAAUCACAAGAUUAAGAAAUUAAAUUUGAAAGCCUUAAUUUUUGCUUGAAAAUUAUUUUGCUAAUUAUGAUCCAAAUUCCUGAUUUUGCUCUAAAGUGAAUAUUUCACGAAGAAUUUGUUAGUUUUGAUAACUUGCAUUUUAAUUUCUUAACUACCUUUUUUGGUUAUUACAAGCUUUUGUUAUAAAUGUCAAAAUUGAGAUUAUCAGGGAGGUUGUGACCUCAAAAAAAAAACAAUGCCGAAUUUUGUAAGAAUGAUAGAAUGAAAUAUUUUUGGUUUUUUUUCUUUUCCAUGAAGGGAUAGGAAACUAAAGAAAGGGGAAGGAAUGUUGUAAUGAACAGGUGAGUAAGCUUUUGGGGUACUCCGAUUUAGUGGGCCAUGGGAGUACCAUGGUUUGGGGAGGGUUAGGCCGAGGCAUGCCAUGGAUGACCGGCAUGCCAGCGAACCGAUAAAGACAUUGUCCUGUGUGUUAAAUUUCCAAGUGAUUAUGUACCCGCUGUAUUUGUCCAUCCACAAGCUGGUUGAUUUUAGUUUUUUUGUCCCUACUUUUUGGCAAUAGGUGUUGGCAAAGAACCGCGCCCCAUCUACUGAGCCACAGCCGGAGCUCAACCGCCAGCAUCAAUUGCCACUCCAGAGAAAAGGUGGAGUGACCUCCUAUGGGGGUACGUGACAAAGCAGGAACAAUUAUCGUUACAGUGGCUUAAUGGGCAUUGUGUGGCUCAAGACUCCGAAGUUUUCGAUGUGACACUUAGUAGAAUCGGAGAAGGAGAUAAAAGAUACACCAUUAAAAGUGUUUAUACGAUGUCAGACCUAUCUUUGCCAGUACAAAGUUUUGAUUUGGCAAGUAUGGUGAAAUGUUCUACAAAUCUUGAUGUAUCGAAAAUAAAAUUUGUUAGUUACAAAAAUGUUCAACCAAAAUUAAUACUUAGCCUACAUCAUUGCUUUUUAACAGUCCAUUGGAAGUGCCCCGCUUGUUGUCAGCCGCUGGACCGAUCGUAACCACCACCAGAUUGUCCUUCAUGCCAGAAAGUUGUUGUAUGUUGUAUGUUGCCCAAUGACACUAAGGAAGAUCCCAUACAGCAACUAAACAUCAUGAUGCAAAGGUACUUUGAUAUAGAGACACUCGAUGUAAAAGUAACUACAUCUAAGCCUUUGCCAUCAGAGGAUAAACGUGCACUACAACUUUUAAAUGAAUUUUCAAGAAAGGUCGAUGAACGAUACGAGUGCCGACUUCUAUGGAAAGAAAAUUUGUCCUCAUUUCCAGAAUCGCAUGAAAUGGCUCUAAAACGUUUGUAUUAUGUGAAGAACAAAAUGGCCCGAAGCAGUGACUAUGCGAGUGCAUAUCAUUUGAAAAUCAGGGACUAUAUAGCAAAAGGUUAUGCCAGAAAACUCGAGGUAAACGAGAAUCCCGUUUUAUUUGCCGCACUUUGGAGUGCAAAAUAUAAACAAGAAUGGAAUCGUUUUCGAUGCCGCCUCUGAAGUUCAGAAUGUGUCUUUGAACAAAUGUCUCUUAAGCGGGCCGGACAUAAAUAAUACAUUGAUUUCAGCCAUUUUUAAAUUUCGCGAAGCCUCAGUUGCCGUUUGUGGAGACAUUAAAGAAAUGUUCCAUAAGAUCAAAAUCGUCAAAGAAGACCAGGACUGUCAGCGAUUCUUGUGGAGAAAUGGGGACAAAAGAAAAAGUGGAAGUGUACGUUAUGCAGAGGAUGAUAUUUGAAGCUAUAUGUUCGCCAAUAAUUGCCCAGUUUAUUAAAAACUUAAAUGCCCAAAGAUUUUUGCAAGAAGCCCCUCGAGCAGUGCAUGGUAUAAUCGACCGUUACUACGUCGACGAUUACGUCGAUUGUUUUGACACUGAGGACGAAGCUGUAAGUGUUGUAAAAGAUGUUAUCAAAAUUCAUAGUGCUGGUGGAUUUGAGCUAAGAAAUAUCAUUUCCGAUUCGGAAUGGGUGGUGAGAUCUUGUGGACAAUCGCACAACGGAGGAAACAGCGAUGAGUCUUUGAAUAAAGAUAAUAUAGAAAAAAAUUAGGAAUACACUGAUUACCAAACCCAGUUGUUUUUGGUUUUCGUAUCAAUUUCCAUAAAGUGGUGAAAUCUAUUUUAGAAUUUACCAAGGUUCCCAUCAAACGUGAAAUGUUUUCACUAAAUAGUCAAUUUAUGACCCAUUUGGAUUCUUAUGCGAAUUUACGAUUAUUCUCACCUUUUUUUGCCAAGAUUUUUUCAACACCAAAGUUGAUUUGCAUAUUUUCACUAAUGCUAGCGAAGAAGCGAAGGCGACAGUAGCGUCUUGGCGUGUGGUAAGUGUGGUCGGAAUUAAAGUCGUAUUUGUAAUAGGCAAAUCUGCUUGUGCUAUCAUAUUAUACGCAAAUUAGAACUGUAGGCAGCAGUAAUGGGUGUUCGUAUGAAGGACUUGAUAAUUGCUAACUAAAAGUUAAUAAAAUCCAUUUUUGGACAGAUUCUCGUACUGUUAUCCGCUGGAUUCGUUCUGAUCAGCGGAAGUACAAAUAAUAUGAAGCCUAUAGGAUGGCCGAGAGCAGCGAAAUGGAUAGUUGGAAUUGGUGUCCGGGAUCUAAAAAUCCAGCCGAUGACACAACAAGAGCAAAAUUUCCCAUUAAGUAUGAAGCGGGCGGACGGUGGACAAAUGGACCGGAGUUUUUACACUUGGAUGAGUCUCAAUGGCCCUUGAAGUUGCAAAUGGAAAACUGCCUGGAUGCUAGCAAAACAGAACGGCGAUCUAAAUAUGUCAUAUAUGUGGCUCGUCAGGUUUGCAAAUUACGUCCUGAUAUUAACAGGUUUUCCAAAUAUUCCAGAUUAAAACGCACUAUGGCUUGGGUUUAUCGAUAUGUAAAAAAUUUGUUUCGAAAAAUAAAAGGAGUCGACAUUAUCAAAGACAAGCUAAGCGUGGAAGAAGUAGCAUGUGCCGAAACGCACUUAUGUCGACGAAUACAACGUGAAGUUUUUCGGAUGGCCACAUCAAUUUGUCAACCGUAAGAGGCGAAGUGCGCUUGAAGUUCUGGGUUCCAUCGUUACGCCGAUUGCUGAAUAGUAUUCAGUCACGAUGUCAAGCCUUUCGCUAACGGAGAGCGCCAACCUCAAAUGGGCCCAUUGUCGAUAGAUCGUGUUACACGAUAUGUUCGUGCUUUCGCUUACACUGGUUUGGAUUAUUUUGGGCCGGAUGGCCUUGUUUACCUGCUUAACCGUUCGUGCUAUCCAUCUGAAGAUAGCCAAUGAUCUAUCUAGUGAUGCUUGUCUGUUAUGCAUUAGGAACUUCAUAAACCGACGUGGAACUUCAUAAAGCGCCACUAAUUUUGUUGGUAUCUAGAAAGAGUUGCAGGGUGAGAAAAACUUUAUUGAUAAUGAUAAGAUGACUUCAUAUCUUACAGCAUUGGGUAUCCAAUGGAAGUUCAACACGCCGACGAAUCCAAGCGAGGGUGGUGCAUGGGAGAGGCUCGUGCAGUCGGUCAAGAAGGUCCUUCAUAUGAUACUGCGCGAAUAUUCACCCAGACUUGAAACCCUGCAAAGUUUUUUAAUUGAAGCUGAGAAUAUGGUUAAUUCCAGACCAUUGACGCAUUUGGCUGUUACACCAGAAGAUCCCCACCCAUUGACGUCAAAUCACUUUUGAAUGGGCUGUGCAAAUUCAACCCAAACACCAGCGCCAUAUGAACCUCGUCUAAUGUGCCCUCUUAAGCAAUGGCGUAUUGUGCAAAUUUGAAAAAUGGUAUGUGGCAUCAAUGGGUUCGGGAAUAUUUGCCGGAGCUAACUCAACGCACAAAAUGGUGUCUUCCUUCUCAUCCUGUCAACAUUGGAAGCCUUGUUUUUAUAUGCGACUCAGACAUUCCCCGCACUCAGUGGAAGCGUGGAAAAGUUGUUGAAUUGCUUACUGGCAAAGAUGCCGUGGCCCGCUCUGCAAGAAUCAGUACCCAUUCCGGUUUUUGUAGAAGGUCAAUAUCAAACUUGCCGUUUUAGAUGUGGAUGCAGAAGAUUUGAGUGGUGAAGCCUCCCCAUCCGGGUCAUUUCACGGAGGCGAGGAUGUCUAUGAUGGUCACUCUAAAGUGAGUGGCGAAGAUGGUUACCCCUAAAAUGGGUGGCGAAGAUGGUCAACCCUAAAGUGGGCAACGCAAAAAGGGUUGAAUGUGGUAUGAACCGCAUCCAUUGAACACUAAAUGUUUUUGCAGUCUGAUCAUAAACAGUAAAAUUGAUAAUGUAUAUGUAAAUUUGUAUAAAAGCCCUUCAGGCCUUGAUUCUUACCUUUUUGCUUGGGUAACUUAACUAAACACGUAAGGUUAACCUUUAUAAUUUGUUAAAUUUUUAUAAAUUUUUACCUUUAUUUUAUUAACGAAUAAACAUAACACAAUCUUUUGUCAUCAAUCAUUUAAACAA